GCGAGUCGAGAGGGGAAAGCCCUCGGCGCACUGCUCAGUAACACGUGGAUAACCUGCCCUCGAGACGGGGAUAACCCCGGGAAACUGGGGAUAAUACCCGAUAGGCUAUGGAACCUGGAAUGGUCUAUAGCUGAAAAGCGCUAGCGCUCGAGGAUGGGUCUGCGGCUGAUUAGGUUGUUGCCGGUGUAACGUACCGGCAAGCCGAUAAUCAGUACGGGCUGUGAGAGCAGGAGCCCGGAGAUGGAUUCUGAGACAUGAAUCCAGGCCCUACGGGGCGCAGCAGGCGCGAAACCUUCACACUGCGCGCAAGCGCGAUGAGGGGACCUCGAGUGUCGGUGCCAAGCACCGACUGUCCCGCUGCCUAAAAAGCAGCGGUAAGCAAGGGCCGGGUAAGACCGGUGCCAGCCGCCGCGGUAACACCGGCGGCUCGAGUGGUGACCGCUAUUAUUGAGCUUAAAGGGUCCGUAGCCGGUCUAGUAACUCUCUUGGGAAAUCUGGCGGCUUAACCGUCAGGCGUCCAAGAGAAACUGCUAGACUUGGGAGCGGGGGAGGUUGGAGGUACUCCAGGGGUAGGGGUGAAAUCCUGUAAUCCUUGGGGGACCACCAGUGGCGAAGGCGUCCAACCAAAACGCGUCCGACGGUGAGGGACGAAAGCCAGGGGCACAAACCGGAUUAGAUACCCGGGUAGUCCUG
rnacentral:rRNA from 1 species